AUACGGAGGAUGCGAGCGUUAUCCGGAUUUAUUGGGUUUAAAGGGUGCGUAGGCUGUUUUUCAAGUCAGGGGUGAAAUGCCGGGGCUCAACUCCGGAGCUGCCUUUGAUACUGGGAGGCUGGAAUACUGUUGCCGUGGGAGGAAUGAGUAGUGUAGCGGUGAAAUGCAUAGAUAUUACUCAGAACACCGAUUGCGAAUGCAUCUCACGAAGCAGUGAUUGACGCUGAGGCACGAAAGCGUGGGGAUCAAACAGGAUUAGAUACCCUGGUAGUCCACGCAGUAAACGAUGAUGACUAACUGCCGGCCCGUUGCGGGUCGGUGGCCAAGCGAAAGCGAUAAGUCAUCCACCUGGGGAGUACGACCGCAAGGUUGAAACUCAAAGGAAUUGACGGGG
rnacentral:rRNA from 1 species